rnacentral:rRNA from 1 species
AGUGAACGCUGGCGGUAGGCCUAACACAUGCAAGUCGAACGGCAGCACAGUAAGAGCUUGCUCUUACGGGUGGCGAGUGGCGGACGGGUGAGGAAUACAUCGGAAUCUACUUUUUCGUGGGGGAUAACGUAGGGAAACUUACGCUAAUACCGCAUACGACCUACGGGUGAAAGCAGGGGAUCUUCGGACCUUGCGCGAUUGAAUGAGCCGAUGUCGGAUUAGCUAGUUGGCGGGGUAAAGGCCCGCCAAGGCGACGAUCCGUAGCUGGUCUGAGAGGAUGAUCAGCCACACUGGAACUGAGACACGGUCCAGACUCCUACGGGAGGCAGCAGUGGGGAAUAUUGGACAAUGGGCGCAAGCCUGAUCCAGCCAUACCGCGUGGGUGAAGAAGGCCUUCGGGUUGUAAAGCCCUUUUGUUGGGAAAGAAAAGCAGCAGGUUAAUACCCCGCCGUUCUGACGGUACCCAAAGAAUAAGCACCGGCUAACUUCGUG